rnacentral:misc_RNA from 1 species
GAUGAAGAACGCAGCGAAAUGCGAUACGUAAUGUGAAUUGCAGAAUUCAGUGAAUCAUCGAAUCUUUGAACGCAUAUUGCGCUCUCUGGUAUUCCGGAGAGCAUGCUUGUUUGAGUAUCAGUAAACACCUCAACUCCCUUUUCUUUUUUGAAAUGGGAGCUGGACUUGAGUGAUCCCAACGCUUUUCUCACCGGAAAGUGGCGGGUUACUUGAAAUGCAGGUGCAGCUGGACUUUUCUCUGAGCUAUAAGCAUAUCUAUUUAGUCUUCCUAAAAACAGAUUAUUACCUUUGCUGCAGCUAACAUAAAGGAGAUUAGUUCUUGUGCUGACUGAUGCAGGAUUCACAGAGACAGCUUCGGCUGACUUUGUAAACUCGAUCUCAAAUCAAGUAAGACUACCCGCUGAACUUAAGCAUAUCAAUAAGCGGAGGA